UCUAGUGGACGGGACGCUUCUUCGAGAACAACAGCAGUUAGUCAGACACAUCGUUAGCGUGCUAGACAACAUCGCAGAAACAUUGAAGCCCUUCAGACCAUUUCAGUGUCUAUUUGCCACUGUGUUUUGAAUACACUUCUGUCGUAUCUACUAGUUACCCCAUUUAAUGUCAUAUUUACGUUGUUAGUCAUCUAGAUUAGACUAUCCCUAAGAUAAUGCUAAUUAGCUUGCUAACAUCCCCGACCAUGAACUCACUAAGCUACUCUCCUCUUGCAGAAGAAGAGGUGGUCUGCUGGACGGAGAAAGAAGGUCUUUGGUUGAACGUUGUUGUGAAAGAAGGGAAGAUACGUUGGGGGUGAAAGAGGAGGAGGAUACGUUGGGGGUGAAAGAGGAGGAGGAUGUUACAGUAAAAGAGGACGAGGAUGCAGUUUUUGGAUUGAAGGCGGAGGAAGAAGAGGAGGUUGGAGAUCUGUUUAACAUCAUUUUUGGAUUGAAGGACGAAGAAGAAGAGGAGGAGACUGAAGAUCUGAUUAACACCAGUAAGUAUAGUCUUAAACAGAACGUUAACAAUGGAUCAAUGCAUCCAGUCUAGAGGCGAAAGAAACGCCUGUUUAGGAGAGGUGCUGGCUAGUGGAGUAGAACACCUGUUUAGGAGAGGUGCUGGCUAGCAGAGUAGAACACCUGUUUAGGAGAGGUGCUGGCUAGCAGAGUAGAACACCUGUUUAGGAGAGGUGCUGGCUAGCGGAGUAGAACACCUGUUUAGGAGAGGUGCUGGCUAGCAGAGUAGAACACCUGUUUAGGAGAGGUGCUGGCUAGCAGAGUAGAACACCUGUUUAGGAGAGGUGCUGGCUAGCGGAGUAGAACAAGUGUUUAGGAGAGGUGCUGGCUAGCGGAGUAGAACACCUGUUUAGGAGAGGUGCUGGCUAGCGGAGUAGAACACCUGUUUAGGAGAGGUGCUGGCCAGCGGAGUAGAACACCUGUUUAGGAGAGGUGCUGGCUAGCGGAGUAGAACACCUGUUUAGGAGAGAUGCUGGCUAGCGGAGUAGAACACCUGUUUAGGAGAGGUGCUGACUAGCAGAGUAGAACACCUGUUUAGGAGAGGUGCUGGCUAGCAGAGUAGAACACCUGUUUAGGAGAGGUGCUGGCUAGCAGAGUAGAACACCUGUUUAGGAGAGGUGCUGGCUAGCGGAGUAGAACACCUGUUUAGGAGAGGUGCUGGCUAGCGGAGUAGAACACCUGUUUAGGAGAGGUGCUGGCUAGCGGAGUAGAACACCCGUUUAGGAGAGGUGCUGGCUAGCAGAGUAGAACACCUGUUUAGGAGAGGUGCUGGCUAGCAGAGUAGAACACCUGUUUAGGAGAGGUGCUGGCCAGCGGAGUAGAACACCUGUUUAAAAGAGGUGCUGGCUAGCGGAGUAGGAUCAUUCGAGGAGCUAGCCAUCGUUCACACAUACAAUAGCCUGCUAAUACCUUAGCUAGCUUUUAACCACAUGUUGAAUUCAGAAUGUUGAUAUCAUCCUAAAAAGUACAAUUACAAGUGCGUCUUAACAAUACCAUCCACUUAUGAGUAACCUCUAAAUAUACAACAUUAUUGAUGAACAAAACACUGUGUAUGACUUUGUGCUUAAAAUAAUCAAACUUUUCUGAAGAUGACAGAAAAAGCGUGCCUACCUCUCAAAGUGCAUCAAAAUGAUUUGAGCACGAGCACACAGGGCAAAACGUAAGUACACACUCCCCUACUCCCAGGAUGCAGACAUGCAUAAUAACAAAUCAACAUGCCAUAUUAAUAUAUGAACCUGGUGAAAUUCACACAGUACUUUAACAACUGUAACAUGAAAGCAAACUGUGUCCUGCGUAACUUCAUGAGGAUGGACACGAGGACCAGGAGGGGAUCUGCAGCUCCCCGCCGUGUCCCAGAGGAGGAGUCUGCUGCUCUGCAGGAUGUUUCAAGGAUGGGGUCCAACAACGCAGCAAGAGAGGCAAUCCGUGUGCAGGAGAUCUUCACCUCCUACUUCUUCAAAGAGGGUGCUGUUCCCUGGCAACACCAUAGACUACACUAUGCACAACCAAAGGCUCUUUUAAGAGCCAUUCACAUUGCAAUAAGAGUAUUCUUCCAUUUACUUAGCUAUGUCAACUGCAGUUAUUCAAUUCCUAGUUUCUCUCCCUUUGAUUUCUACUUCUCAUAUGAGGGUGCUGUUUAGGUAAGGGUGUGAUGUCUGUGCAAAAACAAAACAGGCUAUUUUAAAUCACUAAUAUUGAAACAAUGUAGAACAAUUAGACACCCUAUAACGCACACCUGCACACUCAUGUAUCAAUCUGAUUGAUGGAUUGUGUUGUGCAGUAAGCAGGCUCAGGUGUAUAACUGUGGCUCCUUCCAUCUUCAAAGAAUAGGCAAGAGGGCCAACCAUGGAGAAUAGUAAGACACUUCAUUAUUUCUAUAACUACACUAUAUUGUUUGUCCUCUUGUGUCCGUUCAUGUUUUUCAGCAUAAACUACUCUGCAGCCACUUAGUGUGGUGUGGACACCAGGUGAGGCCACACACAGAUUCCUGUUGAACACUGUCACUUUAACUACCUUAUUUUCUCAAUAACAGUCUCUCCUUCACUUCAUCCCUCUCUCCCUUUCUCCCUAAAUCAUCUAGGUUAUAUCAGCUGUGUCGGUGAACCCCUCCUACAUCUGAACUGGCUACAUAGAGGGCACAGCAUGAUCAGAGACAUGUUUUGAUGUGAGAGGAUGCCAACCCCCAGUCCCAUCAUCGCCACCUCACCUGCUUUUAAGAUAACCUUUGGGCCGACUAGAGGAACUAUUAUAAGAGGUCUGCUGGAUGGAGAAAGAAGCUCUCGUCAAAGAGGAGGAGGAAGAGAAAGAUGUUACAAUACAAAAACAAGUAGAGACUGUUACCGUGAAAGAAGAAGAGAAAGACGUUUCAGUGAAAGAAGAGGAAGACGCGUUCAGAGUGAAAGAGGAGGAGGAUGUUACUGUGAAAGAAGAGGAGGAGGAUGCAGUUUUUUGAUUGAAAGAGGUGGAGGGGGAGAUGACUGUCACAUCCAAAAAGGAGGAAGAAGAGGAGGAAACUAGGAUAUCUGGUCCCGGUUUCCCAAACGCAUCUUAAGGCAUCAUUGUAAUUAAGUUUAGUUAAUGUAGAAGCCUAAACGUUUGCCCCCUUAUCAUUUAAUUUCAACAUGAUAUGGAUAUUAGCCUCAGGGGAAAAAUCCAGGCUUUGAAUUGGAAGAGUACUAUUUAUGCAUAUAUAUAAAUCCAUUUUUUUUAAAUCAUACAAAUCUUAAACGUGUGACCCGUUCUAUACAUCUGUUGUUCGUCAUGUAGAUUGAAAGGGGUGUAUCUUCGCUGUAAAAGACCUUUGUACUAUUGUCUCGUGGCUCUCAACGAAUCAUCUGGGGGUGAUUCGUCGACCAGCCAUCAUUAUCGUAGAACACUCAAUUGAUUCACUUUAUAUGUGUGCGUUGUAUUGACCUGCUCCCUUAUUAAUAAGUGAAUAAAGAUUUAGUUUAAGAAUAA